AUACGGAGGAUCCGAGCGUUAUCCGGAUUUAUUGGGUUUAAAGGGUGCGCAGGCGGGAGAUUAAGUCGGCGGUGAAAUUUUGCAGCUCAACUGUAAAAGUGCCUUCGAAACUGGUUUCCUUUAGUGUAGAUGAAGUAGGCGGAAUUUGUGGUGUAGCGGUGAAAUGCAUAGAUAUCACGAGGAACUCCGAUUGCGCAGGCAGCGUACUAAACUACUACUGACGCUCAGGCACGAAGGCGUGGGGAUCAAACAGGAUUAGAUACCCUGGUAGUCCACGCAGUAAACGAUGAUUACUAGCUGUUUGCGAUACAAUGUAAGCGGCUGAGCGAAAGCGUUAAGUAAUCCACCUGGGGAGUACGUUCGCAAGAAUGAAACUCAAAUGAAUUGACGGGG
rnacentral:rRNA from 1 species